rnacentral:lncRNA from 1 species
CCCUCAUAAGGACUAUGAUAGUCAAUCUCUUGUGGAGCUUCAUCCAAAGGUUUUUCUGAGUCUGAUGGAUUUACAAAGAUAUUUGGUUGCAUGGGUAA